CCAAAGAUAUAGCCAGAGACAGUUCAAUAAAUCCACAUCAGUAUGAUCACAGUAAACAUUAUGAACUAAGAAUUAAUGAUGAGUUAUAUGAUCAAUAAUUAUCUAAAAAUGAAAAUCGAAACAUUAUAUAAAAAGUUGAAAAUAAAAUAUUGAAUAAUUAUUUUUAAUAGUGAAACACAUGUUUGUUUUGCUCGAUAAUUAGCAAUUGAGUCCUCGUUGUGGUAAAAAAAGCUAAUCUUUUUGCGUAACCCAUUUUUGUCUUUAACUUGCUUAGUGUUUAGCUUUUAACUCAAUCAGUGUUUAGUUUUAAUUUAACUUCAAUCAAUUAAUUAAUAAUUAAUGUGUCUUUGCCACAUUUACGUGAUGACUUUAUACACUUUUAUUACAAAAUAACGUUUUUUGGUCUAUUCAACUUCCAUUUAUUUGGCCACCAUGAUGAUGAUCAUCAACAUUAACCAUCACAAGCUUCCUCCAUUAACCUCUCCAUUGUUGCAGUUUUAAGUAGACCAUAAGGGAAAGAGAAAAGAAAAGGUAACCAAUCAAUUGAUCUUCUUUGUUUGUCCCUGGAAAACGAUUCAGAAGCCAGGAUCGUUGGAAACUUUACUCCUGUUAAAUCUAAAAAGAGACACCAUGAAAGGGAAAAAAAUCAAUUCUAUGGAACCAUCUUAGGUUGUGAAGAGAUAAGUAUGAUAAAGAGUUUGACAUUACUAUUAGACAAAUAUCAAACCACUGUAAACACCUAGGAAACAUAUUUCAUCCUGAAAUACCAGAAAAUGCAUAAUUUCAACUUGGCAAUUCCAAUCAACUUACUAAUUAACGAAUUUCAUGGAUGAUAAUUGAGAUGGAUGAAUUCAUUUUCCAGUUAAUGGGUCAUUGUGAUGCUAGAGGAUCAACCCUGAGAAAAUGAUUGAGUUGCUUCUUGAGUUACCUUUGAAUCAAGUAUUUUUCGUUUACUAUUAACUAUUCUGAUAACACUUUGGUUUGCUGUUGAAACUUGUUCAUAUUCAAGUGAUCUUGAUGAGAAUUAAAUGAGAAAAAGGAAAUUAACCAGAAUGAAAAUCACAAGUGGCCAGGAGUAAAAUUUAAUGAUAAAGAUUUCAAUAAUGGAUUACCAGGAAUUUCAAUCUAUUAAUGGUUAAUUGUUUACUAAAUGGACGCUCUGCACUAAUGGCUCUCGACUAAUCCAUGGACAUUUGAUCUGGCUCAAGAAAUUAUCUAUUUUACACAUUCUCUAUUUAUUAAUUGACCAAUUAUAAUUAGAGAGGAUUUAUGUCUCAAUUAAGUUUAAUUUGCUCUUUGGACAAUCUCACAUUGCCCAGAAAAGUAAAUUAAAUUAGCUGUUGAAAGUAA